CUGAAAUACCGUAAAAGGGUCCCCAGAAUGAAGAGCGCAGCAGCGAGUUUUAACAGUAAGUCAAAGCCUGCCGCUGCCAUUGCGCUAACCAUGCUGGAUGGACCGGAACCUCACCGAAGUGGCAACAGCUUAGAACGCCGAUAUCCGAGGAGCAGCAAAGAUGUUUGCGAACGCAAAUCUAUGGGCAGCCCGCAAGCUGUCGUGUCGUUCGGGAGUGAAAUCUACGAUGCCGGAUGCCUCAAAUUAAUCAACGAACAAUCCACCGCUACGUUGGCUGGGUCUUACGUACACAGCAAGGAGAAGAAUAAAAAACCCUUGGCAGUGGGCUCUGGUCAACCACUACAAGCAAGCAGGCCCUAUCAAAGCGACCGUGUGUCGCUCAAAGCGCACAGCAACCGCAUAGCACAGUCGUCAGUCGUGCGAGUUAUUAUUCAUCGAAGCUUGCACAGGACUUCACAGGACGCCUCUGGAAAAAGGAGCAUCACAAGGAAUGUUCGUUGGAUGCUUUGCCGAUACGGCCACGGUUAGGAAUCGCUUUGCCUGUUAAGAACAGGAGAUCUCCCUCGUAUUUCUGAUGGAACCGGAGACCAAGCUGUUCUCUGCUAACCUUUUUGAAGCCACAAGCAAACCUCCAAACCUAGGUAGUACUCCAAGUUACUUAGCCGUUUGUCAGCUGCAGUUCUUCCAACGAGGUUGACGGUUGAGAUGAAUCUUGUGCACAACCGUGAUCCGAUCGGCGUCUCCAUUAAAAAUAUGUUCUUGCCGUUGGUCAAGCUUAUUGACAGACUAUCGAACGCUAUCUACAUUUCUUGCGCUUCUGUGUUUGGGUCAACGAUGAAAGCGUUGAGGAGAACGCCAAUCUUGUCAUUCGUCUGUUGAUCCGACGUACGGAAUGCUUCGGUCCUGCGCUUCGUGGUGAAGGUUUGAUGAAGGCUAUCAACGAAGCCAACAAGAUGUCCGAAAAGAUUUCAAGGCGUAGGAAGAAGCAGGAUGAGGCAGAAGAUACGAUCACUGGUCUAGGCUUCUCGCAUCCUCUU